rnacentral:tRNA from 1 species
GCCACGAUAGCCGAGUGGUUAAAGGCGUGGCCUGUAAAGCUAGAUUACUGGGUUCGAAUCCCGGUCUAAGUG